GACAAAGGCUGGGAGCUGGAAACUUCUGAAGGCUCAUUCACUUGCAUGUCUGUCAUGAAGCUUCAGGGCAGCUCCAGCUGAUGCCAGGGACUUCUGGAGUCCAUUACAGAGCUACUCAACCCACGGCAGUAAUCCUCCCUCUGAGAAUACUACUGUAAUCCUCAAGUGCAGAGUAGAGACUACUGUGCGCAGCCCCCAGAGCUAUCUAACCACAGGAGCUUGAAUGACACACCUACCUCUCAAGAUUAUAGAGUCUGCCUCAAAAGCCACCACUAUGCCAGCUUCCUGUGUGGGUCUAUAGACCCCUUGGGAGAUCUACAUGAUAGUGCCUGAACGGAGACUGAGCAUUAGAAUGCAUCUUAAUUUCAAGCACAUCAGCUCCACUGCCAAUAUGGAUUCAGUGAUCCAAAGUGUUUAAAUCCAAGUCUGGGGUGCAAGUUGAUGCUCUUAAGUGGCUGUUGUGGACCUGGGGUUCCUGUGACAGUAAACUUGGGCUUGAGAAAGGAUCCAAAGAGUGCCUGGGCCUCAAGAAGACACUACCAAGGAAUGAAUGGCCCUCACUGAACUCCUGUGACAUAAUAAGAUAUCUUCACCAUUGAAUAAGGGAUUUUCCUUGAAAAUAUUAUGCUAAUUGAAAGAAACCAAAUUGUAGAAGGUCACAUAUUAUAUGAUUUCAUUUAUAUGAAAUGUCCAGAAUAGGCAAAUCUAUAGAGACAGAAAGUAGAUUCAUUCUUAUCAGAGGCUGAGGGGUAAGGUGGGGAAAUGGCUUUGACUGCUAGUGGGUGUAAGGUUUCUUUUGUGGGGAGAUGAAAAUGUUCUAGAAUUUGAGAUUGGUGAUGGAUGCAUGAUUUUAUCAAUGUACUAAAAGCCAUUGACUUGCACACAUUAAAUUAGUAAAUGGUAUGGUACAUA
rnacentral:lncRNA from 1 species